UCCCUGGAAGACUAGUGGUUAGGCCACGGCACUCUUACUGCUGAGGCCUGGGUUCGAUUCCCAGCCAGGGAA